CACAGCGCCACCCGCAUCGCUCCCUUGUGGAUUGCAUAUCCUCAAAAGUCUCCCGGUUUUCCAGGGACAGUCCUGGAAUUACAGAAGCCAUCUUGGUUUCUAAUUUGAUCCCAGAAUGUCCCAGUUUUCCUUUUUCCUCCACCUCUUAGAGAAGAAUUAAAAGUGGUGUGUGUGUGUGUGAGAGAGAGAGAGAGUGAGCGAUUGGGUACAAAAACAGUCCUGUUUAUACUGAAAAUAAAAACCAAAUGAAGGAAACAUUGAAGCUGGCAUACAAAGCCCUAUAAUUUUGAAGGAAGAUGUCACCAAUCCCCUUGAAAUUCUAUCAUUGCAGUGCUUCAUAUGUUACAACAAUGGCGGAUUUUUGCAUUUUUAUUGCAGGCCGACUAUGCAUGGCUUGUAACAUUUGAAGGACGACUGCGGGCUGCUUCACACUCGUGUCCCAUCAGGCAUAAAGGCAGGAAAUAAACGAAUAAAUAACACUUGAUCACUCUACACUGAUCUGUUUUUACACAUGCACGCCCAUCCCUGGAUGAGUGCAUCCUCACCACAGAAUGUGCGCCAUGCCUUACAUCGUGUUAAGGACAAUUAAAAAAUAAAGGUGGGGAGAAGCUAUUGAAAUGUGCAAAAAAAGUUUAAAAUAGAUAUUUUUGACUUGCUUUGGAGACACAGAAAUCUGCCUUUUGCUGUGAUGCGUGAAGUUGCAGUAAGACAGCAAAACGGCUACAAACAGAAUACUUGGGGCAUGUUUAUCCCCAUUCCUAAUCAAGAUUAAAGUAUAAUCCUAUAAGGUAAAGAAAGAAAAAGGUAAAGGACCCUUGGAUGGUUAAUUCCAGGUAAAGGC